rnacentral:rRNA from 1 species
AUACGGAGGGUGCAAGCGUUAUCGGGAAUCAUUGGGUUUAAAGGGUCCGUAGGCGGACUAUUAAGUCAGAGGAGAAAUCCCACAGCUCAACUGUGGAACUGCCUUUGAUACUGGUAGUCUUGAGUUAUAUGGAAGUAGAUAGAAUGUGUAGUGUAGCGGUGAAAUGCAUAGAUAUUACACAGAAUACCGAUUGCGAAGGCAGUCUACUACGUAUAUACUGACGCUAAGGGACGAAAGCGUGGGGAGCGAACAGGAUUAGAAACCCUUGUAGUCC